GUCCACGCCCUAAACGAUGGGUGCUAGAUGUCGGGACUUCGGUUUCGGCGUCGUAGUUAACGCGUUAAGCACCCCGCCUGGGGAGUACGGUCGCAAGAUUAAAAACUCAAAGGAAUUGACGGGGACCCGCACAAGCGGUGGAGCAUGUGGUUUAAUUCGAGGCAACGCGAAGAACCUUACCAGACCUUGACAUCCCUCCUAAACCCUAUGUAAUGUAGGUCUCAGUUCGGCUGGGGAGGAGACAGGUGCUGCAUGGCUGUCGU
rnacentral:rRNA from 1 species